AGCAGCAUGGCUCAGUGUUAAGAGCCUGGGCUUCGGAGUCAGAGGUCACGGGUUCGACUCCCGGCUCUGCCA
rnacentral:tRNA from 1 species